ensembl:snoRNA SNORA36B small nucleolar RNA, H/ACA box 36B
UUCCAAAGUGUUGAGUUCAGUUCAGGGUCACCUCCCUGUUCUGUUCAUCAAACUUUGGAGCAUUGAAACAGGCUAGGAAAAAGAAUUGGAUAGAAAAUACUACUUUAUUCAUUUAUCUCCCAGCCUACAAAA